ACAUGGAAGGUAUAUGAGUAAAUGGUGCAAAGCAGAAGAUAGCAUGACUGAGAACAUUUACAAAACAAUACACAUACAUAUGUAGUUUUAUGUGUGCAUACGUAUAUAUUCUGCUGAAACCUACAGAAGAAAUCACAGAGAAAUUGAACAAACAGACAAAAAAAAAAAUCAUUAAACAAACAGAACUAGAAGGCAGACCUGAGAAUUAGGAUCUAUGCAUCUUUUGGCCUUUUACAAAUCUGCUGAAUGACUGAGGACAGAAUCCCAGUAAAUGACGGUGUUACCAUGACAGCUGAUAAUCAUCUAUGUUGGCGUAUUGCAAACUCUGUGCCUGGCUCACCUAUGCCUGAUUCCACUUUUCUCUUGAAGCAUACGUAAAAAUGUUGCUGGAUAUGGUGUUUGGGGUUUUUGUUUGGGUUUUUUUUGAAAGGGUUAGUGGUGGAGGCAUCAUGAGCCUGCCUACAAACCAGGUACCAGUUCUGCUUGGCUGGCUAGGAAGAGCAUCACAGCCUGACAGUGAAAAGUCUUCUCCAGUGGAAAGCAUUUUCAUGUGCACAGGAAAAUAGGAACCUAGAUUCUUCUGAGAAUAACAUGGACACAAGGCUUCUCUUCACUAUUUGAGCAAUAAUAGCAUCAUGUGGUUAUCCUACACUUCAGCUAAAAAUCUAAAAUCCUAAAAUAAAGUGUCCUUUCAACUUCUGCUGAAGACUUAAAUUGUUUACAGUGUCAUAUACCAUUAAAAACAUCUUGUUUUGGUUUUCUGUACUCCUGAACAAGGACAUGUUGCAAUGGAUGUUUUUUUUAAAUUUCACUUGCUGAAGGUUUUCAGAUAUACAAAUGCUCGAAUGUGAAAUUGAUGAGGAUACACAGAACUGUACUGCUAACAAGUUGGUUUAUUUCCUGAGUUAUCAAAUGUCAUAGCAGAUAAUUCUAAAUUGUGCACAGCCUUACAAAUUAAACCUUGUAGCAUUGGGUCCUUUCUUAUGAUCCCCCUGAUAGUAAAAUGAUAAAAUAACAAUGUAAUGGAUUUGAUUACACAGAAGGUCUCAGUUGGAGUCCUGAUACUAAUACACAAACAUCCAUAAGCUGAGAAGAUGGUAUUGUUUUACUGCUUUUAGAGACCGUCAGAAUACAUCCCUGCUUUACUAAUGAUAAGAAAAGGGAAGAAGUUGAGGUUAAAUAUCUGGAAUACCAGAUUGUUUUGAUUAUUUGUGGUACUGCCCUUAUUUCUUUUCUCUUGGUACUUUCAGCUUGUCUUUUUGAAACAAUUGCUUAUUUUUGAGAUUUGAAGACAAAACAAAAUCUAUGGUGCACUCCUUUGCAGGUAUGUAAUCUGUUUUAAUUCAAAUUCUGUAAACAUACUAGUUCUACCAGGAUAAUCCACAGGGAAAAUCACAUAACACAUAGUAUAAUAAGAACAAUAUGUUAUAUUUUUUUUUCAAAAAAAAAUCACAAAACAACAGCUUCAUUUUUGUACCAUAGUAAUAUCAGUGAACAGCAGCUGAACAAGUGACAAAACCAAAAAGAAAACAACCCCAAACUUAUCAAUAUUCUUAUUGGUUUAAAAACUAGUAAGCUACACACAAGAGAAACUUCCAAAAGCUCAAUUUGAAAUGCAAUAUUAGAAGUCUUUAAAUAUUUUAUGAGUCCGGCAGGUUGGGACCCAAUAUUUGCUGUUUGGAUUAUAUAAAUAGACUUUCCAUUGUAAACAAACCAUUGUUUAUUGCUGCUUAGUUUCAACAUUUCCUACAGAUUUGUCCUUUCCUUUUGGAAUUUUUAAAAUUUCUUUUGAAUAAACUCCAUCGACUGUAAUUUGGAAAUUUUAAUGUUGAACAGUUACUAUGCUAUUUCAUGCUGUACCACUCACUCAAAUAGUUAAGAGGGAGGAAAAAAGAAUCAGUGAAGCAACAUGACAUAAUCAUGGAUAGCAAUCAGCUCAGCAAACCAUCUAAACUGUAAAACAGUUCUGCGGAUUUUUUUAAGGUCUUAGAAACUGUGCUGGAAAGAAAUAAAUGUAAUAAAAUAUAUUGUCAUUAAAACAGUGAGUGUUGAAUACCUUGAAAGGUAUUUUAGGUUAACUACCAUCUAUGUGAUUUGAAAAUGAAUAUAUGAGAUUAAAGAAAAGUAAAACCUUUUCCAUAAUAAUAAAAAGAAUCCUUUUCAUUGGGUCAAAAAGGGAAAUGUUUUAAUUCAAUGUUCAAAGGAAUAUUCAAUGAUCAAUAGUACAACUAAGUCUUUAAAGGGUGUAAGCUCACAUCUCUUUGAAAAAGACUUCUGAAUGUAGGAAAGGCAGUCACCAGAGUUCAGAUCAACAGGACGAAAACUCCCAGUCUGUGAAGGAAGGGGAAAGUUGUUUUCUUUAUUCAUUUCGUAUACAUUACCUUAAAGAACUUCUCUGACUGUAAUAUGUUCAUGAUACUGCUCCUUUUGCUAGUCUCCUCUCCCUUGGCUGUGUGUCUUGGGGUAAAACAACGUUUCAGUGAGGAAACAGGCUAUUCUAAGGGCUGGGCCCACCAAGGAACACAAGCAGCUGGACUCUUCCACACCCCUACUUCUGGCAGGCUAGUUCAGCAAUUAACCCUCUUUAUGACCCCCAGCUGACCUAAAUUCCCAGCCACCUUCUCUGUUAGGCAUGCUCAGAAAGAACUUGUUCUAACUAUACUGCGCAAUUUAACCACCUGCCUCCUCUCCAGGUCUUAUUGCAGGACUAGGGGAUGGGAGGAGAGGACCAAGGAAACACAGCGGGCAGAACACUUGAAAUAUAGCUGCUACCAGCAUUUGCUAGUUUACUCCUGAGGGUUCCAAAUAAGAAGCUUACUUCAGAAAAAGGAAAGAUUUAAUAUUCAAAGGAUUGUUCAGAGGAUUGAUCUCACUAGCAGUUUCAUUUCUAGGGGUGGGGUUUUUUUGGUUUUGUUUGUUUGUGUGUGUGCUUUUUUGUGUGGUUUUUUUUUUUUUUAAGGAGGUCCUCAGAGGAUGAUUAUUAUUUUUGUAUUUAUAGAGAUGUCAGGGCACAAGGACUCUGAUUUUUCAAAUUUACUUUUAAAUAUGUUCAUCAUGCUCCUUUAAAUAUAUUCUGUUAUGGAGCUCUGUGAAAGCCCAAAUCAAUGGUAUUUAUUUACAGUAGCUGAAGCUCUGCCUCAGUGAGUACUCCCUAGUGCAAUUUCCUUCAAAGCUGAGAUGCUCAAUAGGAGUUAAUCCUCUGAACAGCUUUGUAAGUCUUACACUAAGGGCUACUUCCAAAACCAGCUUUUCUGUCUACAAGAUAGGUGCUAAAAUGUUCUUUUAGGCUGCAGACCCUAGGAGUAGAAGCUGCCUGCCAAGUUCUCAGACUGUAUUGUUCAAGGUGUAAGCAAGACAACAUAAAAGACAUUUCCAAAACACACACAUUCCUGGAGAACCGUGUUGGGCUAGGGAUAAGACAUACUGUCACAGCUGUGUCUUGCUGAGAUGUGGUGUCAGGGUAUGUGUGGGCUCAGGGUGACCACUGCUCCUGUGAUAUCUCAGGCAAAAGAUAGAGAGGCUAGAGACCCACAGCUUCCAAACAUUAAACUGGACCAGGCUUUUCACUGCCACAUGAAAUGCUGGUUCAUCCAGUGUCAUACCUGCCAAAUCACUCAGGUAAUGGGAGACCCCUCCCAGUUCUCUCCCAGCCUGCAUUAAGACAGGUAAGCAUGCUCUCUCCCCUGCCCUUUGAAGGUGGGCUCCUGCACAGCAACAGCUCAUAUUUCUAGGAUGAAGAAGAGCCUGCAGGGCUUGGUAGGACUCUCUUCCACCAAGAGGUUCCUUGUCUCUGCUUUUGUUCAUACCUUUUUUGUUGCUGCUCUUUUCAAGUCAAUGCAUUGAGAGUUAUGAGAAGAGGAUGAGCCAUGGGAACCACAGGAUAACCGAGUGAUGAGUUUGCCAACGUGUCCUUUAAAGCAGGGAAGCCUCAGGAAUACUGAGAUAGCCUCAGCUGUGUGUGCUCAGAUACUACUGGGGCAGGCUGCCACCAUGCCACAGGACUGACUACUGCCACUGCUCUGACUAAUUUCUUGGCCCUGGUUAAGCCUGAUUCAUUAAACUGUAGAUUUACCUUACUAUCUGUGCUAUAGUCUUACAGUUAUAUAUCUCUACAUAUAACUUAGGAUAUAAUGUUUGAGCUAAACGUAGAAAUACUAAAGGAAAUGCACAAAGCUAUCUAACACAAGUUUCAAAAGAUUAUUUCCACACUAUCCACAUUGUUAGCCUGUAUAGCUAGAUAAAAUAAUUAAUAUUAAUUACUGCCAUGGCUGACAUAUUUCUUCUAAUCUUAUGCUUACUUAUAAAGACAACUUUGCAGUUUUAGAAAAAAAGCAUCUCAGUGGUUCCAAAGGGUAUUUAACACCUGUCUUAACAGUUUAUUCAAUUAGAUUGUUACACUAAGCAAUUAAUUUGUAGCAUUAACCAAUAUUUAUUAUUUUCUUUGAAAUGUCUAUAAUUUACCCAACAACAGUAGAUUGGGAGGAACCUCCCUACAGAACUCUGUCAGAAUAUUUUGAAAUUAGAAGAAAAAAAGGUUGAGCUCCUCUGUAUGUAUUUUUAUGGAUCAUAAAGGAAGAUAUUGCCCAGAAUUCAAUGAGCUGUGAAACAUUCUAAAUCAUACUUUUGACAAUACCUGGCUGCAGUGAGUUCCACAAAGUUGUGUGAUAACACUGGUGGUACAUUGUGCAAAUUACUGUUUUUUUAUACUGCAUAAUGAGUGUUAGGCAGACUGGUUCUUGGUUCUUCCAGCCAAGUUAGGGAAAAUGAGCCCAUCAUGCUUUGUACAGAGUAAUGUAGAGCUGUGAAUCAAACUGAACACAUGACAUUGUUUCCAGUUUCUGAUGAAGGAGAAGAAGAAGUUGAAUACUAUGGGAAAGUGUUUUGUGCUCAACAUGGCCCACUGCUGUGUGCUUAAGUGUUUGCCAAUUUCUCCUAAUCUUUUUAAAGAUUACAGAAUGGUUUAUUUUUGUUGAUUUCUUGCCACAUUUUUCACCUCCUUUCAUAAAUUUCUCUACAUUUCUAUAAUGAUGAUUUUCAAAGAAAUAAAAGGUUAGCAUGUAUCAUUCUUUGGUAAGAAGUCAUAACACUUAUUUUCCCAUGUAUUUUCUGUUUUUCCUUGCAACCAUCUCAAAUCAGAACAAUUUCAAAAAAGCAGUUCUGGAUAUCUCCUGUCACAGCCUGUCAUCUAUGGAAACUCAGGAAAUAUUACAAUUAACAUCCACAAGGAAAAUUUUAUUUUAUAUAAUUUAUUCUAAGUAUAUGAGCAGUGAUGAGAAUAAAAAUUUAACUGAAACCCUUAUUUUGGUUAUUGGUAUGGAAUGGCCAAACCAGACAAUUAAUUUUGUGCUAUUUUCUAUGCCCACUCUGACUUGCUAUCAUACAAUUUUUAGAAAAGACUGAAAAUGAUGUGUCAGCUGAUUAAAAAUUAACUUCAUUUAUGUCAAAUAUUCUUAUAGGAAAAAAUCUACUGUAAAAUAUAUUAAUGUACUUGAAAAUCUCAGGAUUGUAAGAGAACAUAGUAAAUCUGUUGAACCUCAUGAAGAUCUCUGUAUCAAAGCAACAAAUAAACCCAAUGAAAUUAAUUCUUUGAAACUUCAAAUGUGAUUUUUAAAAAUAUUAACUUCUUCCUAUUUGAGAACCUAUUCCUUUUUGAGCUUGCAUUCAGUUUAAAAGGAAAUAUUGUCUCCAUUACAGCUAGCAAUAUUCAUAACAAUAUGUACAUUGUCAAAUGCUUAAAUUCUAUUUAAUCAUACUUAAACCUCAGUUACUUUCAUAUGUGUUUUAAUUGUGUCUGUAAAAAUCUGUCAAGUUGCAUAAACUUAUAAAAAUCUUUGCAAAGUGAACCUUCCAUUUUCUUUAAUAGCACCAGUUUGCCAGCAGAUUCUAAUAUUUAGGUUUCUAAGUACAAUGAAAUUUAAAUAAUUGCUGAAUAUACAAGACCUUCACCCAUCACCUUUUACUGUCUUUUAAGGACCUGGACAGGGAGACAAACUUCUUGUUUCAACAAGGGAGUAAAUAUUCUUUGUGGUUUCUUUCAUUCCACCAUAAGCUUAUCCUUGUUUCCAAUAUACCUCACCUUUUUAUCUAAAAUAAAAAGUGAAGAGCAUUUAUUUAUACUAUCAAGUACAAACACAGCACACUUCAUGUAGUGCAAGAUGUUAUAACUGCAGAAUUCAUAUAUCCAGCCCUCUGAUUUUAAAGUUAGGUCACUACAGUGGUUUGCACAGUCAUUAUCUUCUACUUACAAAACUUAGGCAGGCAUUUUGACCAGUUCUCUGUGGUUAAAAAUGUAAAAUUCUAAUAUGUCCUCUUGUGUAAUAAGUGUGUUUGGAAAGACUCACAAGUAUUUGAAUCACGUAUGGAAAAAUGAAAUUUUCCAGUGCUGUUGGAUCUAUUCUCAUAAUCAAAGAGCAGUGUUUCACACUUUUUUCACUGUUCACUCCAUUCUGUGUGUGGAUAAAAGCCACACUUAUUCCUUUGCAGCAGGUAUAAAAAAAAAGCCAAAAUACAGAGAUAUUAAACACUAAAGCAGAGAUUAAUUGGAACUCAUUACUCAUUCCUUUUUAGUUUUUUGUAAAUAAUUCUAUAUUUCAUGCUAAAAUGCACAGCCAUUCAAGAGAGUUAUAUUUUCUAAUGGAAAACUACCCUGCAGUUUCUCGGUUACCAGAUGAAAACUAGCACAUGUAGCUGGUGAGCUAAGUCUGAGUAGAGGUUUAUAUGCUACAGGCUGAUGCUCUUUGUCAGUUCCUAGAGAUCAAAUAUCUCAAAAAACCUUACUCCUCAUAGUAUUGCCUUUUAGACUAGAAAGCUGAACAAGCAUGAAGUUAAUUCCUUUUCUGACAAAUGCAGUACAUAGAUAUGAUUAACGAUUGACCUUUUUUUCUCUUUGCCGUAAGCGGGUAAGGGUCGUCACAGAUUGCCUGCACUUAGCAACUUCUAAAUAAAUGGGUGCCUGAAGGCUGUAUUUUGUACUUAAAUUAUUGCUAUAGAGAGCACUUUAAAACACUUUUGCCCUCAGACACUCAAUUUCAACCCCUCUUCCAGCAAAGUCUUAUUAACUUGGAACAAAACUUGAUUAUAUUCUGCAUCCCAACAGGAUUUCUAUACAUGUGUUAUGGAAUGAAGUAUUUUUCCCGAAAUAUCACGGUAGACUUUUGACAAAACGAAAGAGAGCAGCUAUUGUCAAUGUCUCAACAAACUCCUUUGGUUUGUCAAUACAUUUUCAAGUUUGACUUGUAGCUUUUGUGGAACCAAAAAAGAAGAAAACAAAUGCAUCAAAACCUCCCAAGGACAGAACUUGAUACAUGUGACCACGUGACUGCCACAAAAAGUAAUGUCUGAAUAUUUACUCAGUAAAACAGCAAACUCCCUGCUACAAGAGAUUCUCCUUUCUUUUUCCUUUACAUGGGCGGAUGAAAGUGUUUCAAAUGAGUACUCAUAGACAAUUUAAACUACAAAUAAUGACAUGUGUCAGUUUAAAAAAUGGGACUAUUCAAGUUCCUUAGCACCAUUUGAUGAUUUAUUAGCAGUCUCUUUCAAUUUCACCUUUUCUGCACCAAGUGACUUCAAAAUCAAAAGUACCAGCAUGCAUCAAUCUAUAAUAUUCACAGUAAAGAUAUAUUAGCAAUUAUAAUUAGUAAUUCCAUGUGUUAUUAGUUCAUAGGGGUGAAUAUAUUGUUAUCAAAGGGUGAUUAAAAAAAUGUAAAUCACGGUUACAAUUAUAGAUUCAUAUCACAUCCUCCGAAACAGAAAUAAAAGCAAAAGCUUUAUUUUAUUUCUUCUAUUUUAUCAUUUACUAAUGCUAAGUUCCAUUUCUACCAGCUGCACCUGGUUACCACUGAAGACAUUUUGUUGCCCUCCAUCCCUUCACAGCUCAUUAGCUGAAAACAGGGAGCAACUCUGGGGUCAGGAGUAGUCUGUGUGCCUCGCACAGGAAGAAAGCCGAGACUGGAUCAGGGUCCCAUGGGGUCCCUGGGUCUAUUUAAAGGCCGCUGUAGUCUCUAGGCAGGCAGCUCUACCAUGUGCUCCAAAAGAGAGUUUUCUUUCUGGUGGAAACACUAGGAGCUAUACAAAGUAGUCUCAGUGGCCAUCACUUGGGUUAUCAACAGGCAUAUGCCAGGAAUUAAAACAAUUCCAUGAAAGCAGAAUUUUCUGGCAAACUGUUGUCACAGUGUCUGCCUAGUUCUCAAGGAGCUUUUUUGAGGAACAUUGUGGAAGCUGUGUGAAUACGCCAAUGAUGCAGUGAUACCAUCUGUUGUUCUGGAGUUGCACUAAUGGCAGCAUCCACUGGCUCCUGAAUACUUUUGUGCUUCAGGCUACCAGUUGUCUUAGACUGUGUUACAGUACAUGGUAAAGUUGCACCCUCAUUUUCAAAUUCGAGUGUGCUUGGGUUUGGUCUCUACAAGAAAUAGCUCCCAACAGGUCAGAUUUGCUAUAGAUUGCUUGUGUUGUGCAGCUUUGUUCAAUUUUCUGUGUAUUAUAGGAGACCACAAAGGUAUUUUAUAAACGUAUGAGUUGAGAAGAUGGUUGCAUUAUGCAAUAAAAAAAAUAUUUAGUAAAACUGCUAUAUAUGGCCAUAUAUAUAGCCAAGACUGCUAUAAUGCCCCAUUCCAUCCCCUUUUUUGGUGUGUUUUCUUUGAAAAUAGCAUCUACAUUUUCAUUAACUUGACUAUAUUCAGGUACUUGAUAGGAAGACAAAGCCACAGACAGCAACUGUUCCCCAGGAAACAAACAGAGAACAUUAUAUAGAUCUUACACUUUUUAUAGAAAUACAGUCGAAGUACUAGGUUGAGGAUUUAGAUAGGUUCUUAAAGUAUAUGGACACUGGAACUAUAAAUCAUAUUCUCCUGUUUUCCCUUUUCCCCACUUUUGAGCUGU
rnacentral:lncRNA from 1 species